rnacentral:ncRNA from 1 species
CACCGAUAAAGGCAAAUUUGGUGAAAACCAAGGGCGCAAAACUACAGGGCCUUCCUUGAGAUGUCAAGAUGGCAGCCAGUUACCGAA